rnacentral:lncRNA from 1 species
AAUUACGAGAUAUAAGAUUUACAUUCGCUUUAAUUUAAAAUAUACAGAUACUAUUUUUAAACUCUAUAUUAUAUAUAUAUAGAGUUGAGCUAGAAUACUAUCGGUAGUAAACGGGUUGUUUUACUACUAAUUUGUUUUCGAUGAUAGAACUUCCAAAUUGACGAUCCGCUCUGUUGAACAUGAUUUAUACCACUUGAAGUGUUUAGAAAUCAAAUUUCAAAUCUUUUCGACAUCAUUUGCCUAAUGAUCAAAGAGUUUCAAAAUUUGUAAUUUUAAUGGUCAAUAAGAGGCGUUUUCUCGUUUAACGGUGUAAAGAUAUCCAAAUCAAUUGAAUUUUUGUUAGAAAAUUCUUUAAACUAUUUAAAACAAGAUCUAUACUCUUGAUCUUGAUUACAAGACUCCUAUCAUCAUUUUUUAAAGAGUAUUCAUUUUCAGUCAUUUAUUUUUCUGUUCAGUUGAUGGAUAAAAGAACAAUAUCGAAAGUGCGUGAAAUUUGAUUUCUAGAUAGUUUAAAUGAUUUAGAUCAUAUUUAACGGAGCCGAUCGUCAAUUUGGAAG